ACUGCAACUUUUAUUCAUUUUUAGGUUUGUGCUAUUUUAUGGUCUAAAGAAUAUAAAGAGUUAAUAUCAGGACAUGGAUUUGCAAAUAAUGAAUUAAUAAUAUGGAAAUACCCAUCAAUGGCAAAAGUAGCUGAACUGAUUGGUCAUAAAUCUAGAAUUUUGAAUUUGGCUAUGAGUCCUGAUGGAAAAACUGUUGUUUCUGCUGGUGCUGAUGAAACUCUGAGGCUUUGGAAUUGCUUUGCUUCGGAUCCAAAGAA